UCAGUUUAGAUCGACUUCUUCCUCUCCUCCUAGGAAUGGCUCUCUGUUUGGUGGAAUAGGAAGGGAGCAAGUAGGAAACUGUGAAAAUAAUUCAGGUCUGAUCCUCCACGUCAAGCACCAGGCAACAAGGUUGCCCUCUCAGUUCUUCUGUUAGCCGCUCCUAGAUAAGGCCUUCAAGACCCAAGUAUUUCUCUCACAUACUCAGUCCCUCUGUUUGUUUUCUUGAGGUGAGGUCUUGAAGCCCCUCUUUUGUUCGUAUGUUCUUGCAUCCAGUUAUGCAAGAGCUAUGAGCAUAUUUGCCUUUGCCUCCGGCUUCUCCAUGUACUCCUUCAACAUAUGUUAUGAUCAGAAGCAACAUUUGUACAUGCCCCGUUCCAGAAUAUGCAGAGAAGAUGAUCGCUGCAAUUGAUGAAGUACGAGUUGAUAGAAAUUAGAUUGGUGGGACGGUCACAUGUAUUGAGAGAAAUGUUCCUCGUGCUCGGGAAUGAUAUACAAUUAUGUUGGGUACUUGCUGUGGGAUUUUUCACCUUUCGUGUACCUGUGUUAGGUAAGUCUUGGAGCGAGUAGUGGAUGGCGUGGAUGGUUGUGGCUGAUGGCGUGGAUGGCCACGACAGAGUCGACGGUGGAGGCGGCCGCUAGCUCAGGGUGUCACGUCCAUGGUCAUCCUGUCUGCUGUUUGCAGCACGGAUGUCGUAGAUGGCGUGUAGGCCAACCUUGACCAGCAACGUAGGUGCAGGUCAUUUCCCCGUAAUGGCAACAGUGGCGACGGAGAGGUACAGUCGCCGCCGUGGACUGCUGCAGAUGGCGCUUUGCCUUGGGAUGGUGAUGCUGCUUCCCCUGUGGGACGGGGUAUGUUAACCGAGUGUGUGUUUUUGUCAUCACUGUACUUAUGCAGAGUGUUCAUCUAAAAGGAGCUCACUCAUGAACUUAGAACUUUCUCAACUCCAGAAUACUACUUUUCUUUUAGGGAAAACUGCAGAAAGUUGGCAUAUAAAUGGGAGCAUGUUCGAAUGCUUUUACCUCCUUAAUCAGUCCAUGCAAUAAUUCUUACAUUUGGAUGCAAAGUUAGCGAUGUAUCAUGAGUACCAUGAUAAUGUUCGUUUACAAAAGCAGUUUAGUUUGUUUUGGAAAAAAAACUUGUACACGUG